ensembl:lncRNA
UUGAUUUAUUAGUGUGUCCCCCAAACUGUUUGGACGCCUACAGGCAGAAGUUGGGUCGUAGAGCAAAACAGAGAACACCAUCCUGUUCAUGAGAGUCUCAUUUUCCAUAGAAGGGGUUAUAAUAGUUUUGUAGGCCAAACUGUUCGGACGCUACGUUUUCAAGAUGUCUCAUCGUCUGACAAACACCUCUCUAGCUCUGUCACCUUUCGUCCGCAGAUGCAGAAGUGCGACAUUGGAGGAUGAGGUGGAUUGAGACAAAUCCAAUAUCUUUAUCUUAAACUGGGGGGGGAUUUUGUAUUAUGCUAAUUAGACAUAGAGGGGGUUAACCUUUAUAAAGGAACUGUUCACUUAGUUGUGUCAUACCUCAUAAACCAUAAACAAAACAGAGUGAAACGCAGUACACAACUUUAUUAGUAUUUGUUAGUGAAAACCGAUAUAACAAGCGAGAAAAAUAUACAUUUGACAAAAAAAUCUACAGUCUCAAAACGCACAAAGAAUACACAAAUGCAAAAGAGAUUUCAUGCAAAAAUUGUAGGCACUUUUACUUGGUGGCGCAAUGGUUGGUGACGCUAUGUUCAAUACAAAUCAAAUCCAAUUGUAUUUGUCACAUGCGCCGAAUACAACAGGUGUAGUAGACCUUACAGUGAAAUGCUGAAUACAACAGGUGUAGGUAGACCUUACAGUGAAAUGCUGAAUACAACAGGUGUAGGUAGACCUUACAGUGAAAUGCUGAAUACAACAGGUGUAGGUAGACCUUACAGUGAAAUGCUGAAUACAACAGGUGUAGGUAGACCUUACAG